AUAUUAUAGACGAUCGCCCCCACUCUCGGGAGGCGGUACUUCGAUCGACAGAAAACGGAGCAAAUUCUUAGAUCAAUCGAUUUAUCCAACUGAGAAGUACACACACACUAUAAUUGGAAUACAUGUAUACAGUAAACUUUGUAAAGCGAUCCACUCGCCGCCAUAAUCGUUGACAUUCUGUUUAGAACAUCUAAACAGAAAAUAAAAACUGGAGAACACGGCCAUUUCACAUUCGAUAUGACCAGCAUAUACGCACAGGUUGUGUUGAGAUUAAUCAAAAUGGAAUUAUGUAGUGGGUUAAAAUUAAUGUGGAUCAUAAAUGUACAAGUGUAGAUAAUAUAAUUGUGGCCUACUAAUUCAGUGUAUAGAUGAUUGCAACUCCCCAAUGGAUUACCAAUAUAUGUUGAUCAAAACUGAACAAAUACAGCAUAUUAGUUUAAAGUAAUUCCACCCUCCUGUGAUGUCAUCAGAGUUUGCAAAAUUAAUGAUUUAUUUAGAUUUAUGCAUGAUAGGAACAUGAAUUUUGUUAGAGUCUUUUCCAAUAGGUAUUGUAAAAAAUCUUGUUAAUAAUAAACUAUUUCAAAAGUC